UUCGCACCCACGCCUAGCGAUCGAAGCCGCCGCAAGUCACCGCCGCUAGCCUGGAGGCCUCAUGCCGCCACCGCUCGCCCCUUUCUCUGUAGGUCACCCACGCACCUGGGACCCGGGGCCGUUUCCUCCUCCCCACCAGGCUCGAGGAGGCCCGAGGAGGUGACCAUGAGGAGCGCGCAGCCGCCGGAGCCAUGGGUAGAUCCAGCCGGGACCGUCGGCAACCAUCCCUCCUUCCGGCGGCGAUGAAGAAUUGAAGAGGCUUGAGGAGAAUGGGCGCAUGGGCCGUGCGCGUCUCCCGCGCUAGGAGCCACCGGUCCUCGUCAUCUGCUAGGAUCCACGAGGAAUCGAUCCAUAUGUAAGCUAGCUUCCACCAUAAUCCAUCCAGCAGGCUGUUUGCUUGUUUGUUUACUAGUGGAAAGACAUGAUGCGAGGCCGGCGUCGUGGGUACAUGCCCGCUGCUAAUUGAUUCUCCUGCUAAUAAUAGUAGUAUGUGUUCUUGCCCGUGGUGGAGAUGUACAUACCUGAAUACUCGUCACAUAUCCGCACAUACUCGAAUACUCUCAAACUGGCACGUAUACAUAUAUACAUACCCGAGUACCUGUGCAUUUUUUUAAUUCAGCUAAACAGGUCUACAGAGUGUCAAUCUUGGCAAAGGCUUGCUUUGCUCCUUUGCCUAGUGUUGCACUCGGCAAACUCCGACCCGUUAGAUUGGUUAGUAGAGAUUGUGAAGAGCAACACGAACAUCUACUCUGACAGGGAAUGUAGGUGUAAUACAUAGUGGUUUUCAUGGUAAAGGUUCUAGUAGAUGUAUGGUCAUUUUAGUGUAGUAUAUCCCAAUAAUCACUAUGAAAAUACAGCAGAAGCUCGUCUGUUCAUUUCCAGUUUAAUUAUUGUAUUUCUCAUAUCUCAAUCUCAUCUGCGAGUUUGAUAUAAUCAAAUGGGUGAUAGCAUCACCUUGUACUAAGUACCCAUCCUGGUUACUUUUUUUUAUUUAGGUAAAUGUAAGAUACCAUCAUCUUUUACCAAGUAUUCAUCCUGGUUACAUUAUGUGCAAAAUAGGUUCUACAUUUAAUUACAAAUUUGUUGAAUAUGUGGUUUUACCGCGUGCUUAUAGCCUGUACCUUUUGGUUGUACAUCUAUUUCUGUCUCAAGUUAUUUAUCUCUUACAGAAUGUUUGCGAGGAGCUCGGUUAGUGUUGAUGCCUCAAGGGUUUAUGCAUGUCAGUUCCAUGUUGCUUAAAGCCACUGUAACCAUGGCUACUGGUUUUCAUGUAUAUGUUUAUGCAGUCAUAACACGCUUGUUGACAACUCGUAUGGAAUGUUUAUAUUAUUUAUAAAUUUUCCAUGGAAUGUCUACUGUUAAAAAACAUCUUGCGGGUACUUUAGUUAGGUACUAGAAAGCACAUACAUACGCACAUGCCCAGCACAACCACAAGCACACAAUACAUCACAACACAUAUGUUCCACACAUACAUCACAACACAUAUGUGCUGCUUUUGACUUCUCAAUGGUAUGAUGAUGCUUUGCUCUGCCACUCUAAUUUUUUUGCAUUGGGGCACUUUGCAUGUGCUUGCUCCUGUGUAGUUGUUCUGCUCUGUUCACAUAAUGUCCAGAUACAACAAGUUAAUCUUGAUUCGUACAAGAGCUAAGUAGAGUUGUCUCAACUCUUUUUUUUAGGUUGUUUACCACACGUUUGCCACGUGGUGAUUGUUGAAACUCUAAAUACAAAUAGCGCAACAGUUUACUGCUAUGUAGUAUUAAAUGGGAUUAUGUAGGCAAAUGCACGGAUCACAGAAGAUCCCAUUGACCAGUGAAAAGUAAAUAACCUUUUUGACUAUUGCUCCCUUUGCUUCAGCGGUUCAGCCACAUCCCUGCGGCUUCUCCUCUCUCUCUCUCUCUCUCUCUCUCUCUCUCUCUCUCCCUCUCUCUCUCUCUCUCACUAUUCUGCACUUCAAACACAACGAUGUAGGAUGAGGCAAAGUACGCAGGUAACAUGAAAAAUACAUGAAAACAAGGCAAAUUUUGGUGUUGUAAUUUAUAGAUACCUCUUGGUUACUUUGUUUCAAAAUAAAUAAUUAAAUUUUGGCUGGCAUUUUCACCAAUGUAGCACCCAAAAAAAUCAUCUUUGAUGGAUUGAAUACGACAGAAGUUCUAUGCAGUUCGAUUGGUAAUUGUUCGUUCGUUGUCAUAUAAUUCAACAUUUUGCUCUCGGGCUAUCUAUGUGAUAUGUCUAUGUUAUCAACUCUUUAUUAGUAAAAAUAGUACCUAUUUUGCCAUAUCCAUGGUCAAUUCCUAUAUUUUUCCUUGGAAAAAUUCCUACAUAUUCCAUAGACCAUGUUGCAUUUUAGAAUUUCGUUCAAUGUUCGGCCCCCCUUAUGUAUAAUUCCUGGCUCCGCCGUUGCGCCUAACACAUGCGUGCAGGUGUGGGCAUCCCUUUAUUAGUCCCACUUGCAGUCUGAAUGUGUAUCCCUAAGAAAGUGAAUGGUCAUGAUAGUCUUCCUGAACUAUGACUAUGUGUAUCCAUUGAAGUAAUGUUCAUGCAAAUACUAUAAUUAUCGUUGUUGAAUAAUAAUAUUGAUCAUAAUAUAGGUCGCAUCCAAAGUAGUUUUAAAGACUUUAACAUAUCCAAACCAGCGAAAUGUUGCAUAUGCUACUAUUCAGAGUAUUGAUCUAGAAACUAAGGUUGGUGAUAUUUAGUUAGGUGCCGAAUUUGCACUUGUGUGCAUAGAUGAACCUAUUCUGGAUAAUGAGGAGUUAGUAAGGUAAGUUUCUAAUUGCAAGAGAAUUGGUGAUGCUUUUGCUUCAGGAUACUUAAUUGUCCAACCUCUAGCUUUUGUAAGUCGGAGUCUUUUCUUCCAUAUUCCACAAUUAUAUUUGUGUGCAUUUAAUCACAUAACUGCAAGGUCCAUUUUCCUUUUACAGAUUCAAAAGAAGCAUAAUGGAGUUGCAGCUGAACCGUUCUUCUGUUGGAUGAAGAAGCAAAUGUAAUUAGAAGAUUUUACUUAGCAAUAAUUGUAGUUUGCAUUGAUAGAUUGAAAAAUGUAACACCAUUCAGAAGAUCUUUUUCUUUGGUCGAAUUGAUGCAAAUGCUAUGGUGUAAUAUUCUCCAUAGAUGUGUUCUCUAUAGUAAAAUAUAUAUGAAUGAUAUGCUGUCUAGCCAAUAACAUUGGUAUGUAUUUAUUGUAAUGCAUAUGUAUCCUACACUCGUAUAUUCAUAAUAAAUACCUUGAUAUUUUCAAUUUAUGUAUGUUGUGCUUCAAUUUCUCUAUCAUUU
rnacentral:lncRNA from 1 species